rnacentral:rRNA from 1 species
AUUGCCUCAGUAACGGCGAGUGAAGCGGCAACAGCUCAAAUUUGAAAUCUGGCCUCACGGUCCGAGUUGUAAUUUGGAGAGGAUGUUUUGGGCACCGCCCCCGGUUAAUUUUCUUGGAACAGAGAAUCAGAGAGGGUGAGAAUCCCGUCUUGGCCGGGGGUAGGACCUGUGUAAAACUCCUUCGACGAGUCGACUUGUUUGGGAAUGCAGGUCAAAAUGGGUGGUAAAUUUCAUCUAAAGCUAAAUAUUGGCCAGAGACCGAUAGCGCACAAGUAGAGUGAUCGAAAGAUGAAAAGCACUUUGAAAAGAGAGUUAAACAGUAUGUGAAAUUGUUGAAAGGGAAGCGCUGGCAACCAGACUCGAGCGCGGUGUUCGCCACGGCUUCUGCCGUGGUUACUUCACCGUGACCGGGCCAUCAUCAGUUUUGGGGGUCGGUCAAGGACCCUGGGAACGUACCUACCGCUUCGGGGGUAGACUUAUAGCCCAGGGCGUCAUGCGGCCUCCCGGGACUGAGGAACGCGCUUCGGCGAGGAUGAUGGCGUAAUGGUUGUCAGCGA